rnacentral:rRNA from 1 species
GACGAACGCUGGCGGCGUGCUUAACACAUGCAAGUCGAACGAUGAUCUCCCGCUUUCGGGGGUGUUUAGUGGCGAACGGGUGAGUAAUACGUGAGUAACCUGCCCUUGACUCUGGGAUAAGCCUGGGAAACCGGGUCUAAUACUGGAUACUACUUCCUGCCGCCUGGUGGGGGCUGGAAAGGGUUUUACUGGUUUUGGAUGGGCUCACGGCCUAUCAGCUUGUUGGUGGAGUAAUGGCUCACCAAGGCGACGACGGGUAGCCGGCCUGAGAGGGUGACCGGCCACACUGGGACUGAGACACGGCCCAGACUCCUAAGGGAGGCAGCAGGGGGGAAUAUUGAACGAUGGGCGGAAGCCUGAUGCAGCGACGCCGCGUGAGGGAUGACGGCCUUCGGGUUGAAAACCUCUUGCAGCAGGGAAGAAGCCACAAGUGACGGUACCUGCAGAAGAAGCGCCGGCUAACUACGUG